GUCAUGGCUCAGGAUGAACGCUAGCUACAGGCUUAACACAUGCAAGUCGAGGGGCAUCAGUUUGGUUUGCUUGCAAACCAAAGCUGGCGACCGGCGCACGGGUGAGUAACACGUAUCCAACCUACCUCAUACUCGGGGAUAGCCUUUCGAAAGAAAGAUUAAUAUCCGAUAGCAUAUAUUUCCCGCAUGGGUUUUAUAUUAAAGAAAUUCGGUAUGAGAUGGGGAUGCGUUCCAUUAGUUUGUUGGGGGGG
rnacentral:rRNA from 1 species